UGAAUCCUCCUUGUUUAAUGUCAACAAGAUCAAUGAUUUUUCCAUUUACUACUGACUUGUUUUGCCAUUUUGAAGUGUAGACCGAUUCUACUUCGUCCGAGUCAAACAAUGAAGUGUUGGCAGAAAUUUUUGUGGAUGAUGAAGGGGGUCUUGAUGAAAGUAUUUUGGUCUUUUUGGGAGUUGGAGUUUUGGAAACUGAUUUUGCAGGAGGAGGUUGUGGUGUUGGUUCAACAGGAGGAGUGGUCUCUGAAUCAUCAGAGUUGAUGAC
rnacentral:lncRNA from 1 species